AAUUCCAGCUCCAAUAGUGUAUAUUAGAGUUGUUGCAGUUAAAAAGCUCGUAGUUGGAUGUCUGUCGUGGUCAUCCGGCCUUGCCCGUAUGGUGUGCGCCUGGGUUGCCCGCGGCUUUCUUCCGGUAGCCUUCCGCGCUUCGCUGCGUGCGUUGGUGUUCCGGAACUUUUACUUUGAGAAAAAUAGAGUGUUUCAAGCAGGCUUGUCGCCCUGAAUACUGCAGCAUGGAAUAAUAAGAUAGGACCUUGGUUCUAUUUUGUUGGUUUCUAGGACCGAGGUAAUGAUUAAUAGGGACAGUUGGGGGCAUUCGUAUUUAACUGUCAGAGGUGAAAUUCUUAGAUUUGUUAAAGACGAACUACUGCGAAAGCAUUUGCCAAGGAUGUUAUCAUUAAUCAAGAACGACAGUAGGGGGUUUGAAGACGAUUAGAUACCGUCGUAAUCUCUACCAUAAACUAUGCCGACUAGAGAUAGGGAAACGCCUACCUUGGCUUCUCCUG
rnacentral:rRNA from 1 species